ensembl:miRNA
GCUGGUGAGCAUCCUGGGCCUGGUUAAUGCCAAAUUUGUGUUAACUAUACCAGUAUGUUAGCAUAGUUG